AUGGAAGCACGUUCUCAGGCAAGCUUGGUCAAAAGCAAACAGAAGCAAUUUCCAAAACAGACAAAAAUGGGCGUGCGCGUGCGCAGGCGACUAGCCGAGGGACUAGGCAGAGCCGUGGUACCGCCGCCAGGUCGCUGUAGGUCCACGCCGCCCGUGGCGCUGCCCGCCCCUCCAGCGUCUGCCGCCGCCGUGGGGGUGCAGGUGGAAACCAUCUCCCCAGGAGACGGGCGCACCUUCCCGAAGCGCGGCCAGACCUGCGUGGUGCACUACACCGGGAUGCUUGAAGAUGGAAAGAAAUUUGAUUCCUCCCGGGACAGAAACAAGCCCUUUAAGUUUAUGCUAGGCAAGCAGGAGGUGAUCUGAGGCUGGGAAGAAGGGGUUGCCCAGAUGAGUGUGGGUCAGAGAGCCAAACUCACUAUAUCUCCAGAUUAUGCCUACGGUGCCACUGGGCACCCAGGCAUCAUCCCACCACAUGCCACUCUUGGCUUUGUUGUGGAGCUUCUAAAACUGAAAUGACAGGAAUGGCCUCCUCCCUUAGCUCCCUGUUCUUGGUUCUGCCAUGGAGGGAUCGUGGUGCCUCCAGAUGUGUGCAUGUGAAUCCAUAUGGAGCUUUUCCUGAUGUUCCACUACACUCUGUAUAGACAUCUGCCCUGACUGAAUGUGUUCUGUCACUCAGCUUUGCUUCCGACACCUCCAUUUCCUCUUCCCUUUUAUCCUCGUAUGUGUGUUUACCUAAACUAUAUGCCGUAAACCUCAAUUUACUCAUUUUAUUUUGUUUUCAUUUUGGGGUGAAGAUUCCGUUUCAGUCUUUUGGACCUAGGUUUCCAAUUAAGUACAUGAUCAAGUAUUAACAGCACAAGUGAUAGGUUAACUUUAGAAUAGGAAUUGGUGUUGGUGGGGGGGCGUUUCAAGAAUAUUUUAUUUUAAUUUUUUGGAUGAAAUUUUUAUCUAUUAUAUAUUAAACAUUCUUGCUGCUGCGCUGCAAAGCCAUAGCAGAUUUGAGGUGCUAUUGAGGACUGAAUUAUUCUCCAAGUUGAGAGAUGUCCUUGGGUUAAAAUAAAAGCCCUACCUAAAACUGAGGUGGGGAUGGGGAGAGUCUUUGCCUCCACCAGUGCCACCCCUCCCUCUCCUUAAACCCUCUGCCUUUGAAGGCAGGUCAUUUUCACUGCGAUGUUGGACACUACAGGUAUCUGUCCCUGAGCCAGCAGGGACCUCUGAAGCCUUCUUUGUGGCCUGGCUUUUUUUUUUUUUCCCCAUCCUGUGGUUAUUCUAAUGGACUUUCAGGAAUUUUGUAAUCUCAUAACUUUCCAAGCUCCACCACUUGCUAAAUCUUGAGAACUUUAAUUGACAGUUUAAAUUGAAGGUGCUGUUUGUAGACUUAACACCCAAUGAAAGCCCAGCCAUCAUGACAAAUCCUUGAAUGUUCUCUUAAGAAAAUAAUGCUGGUCAUCGCAGCUUCAGCAUCUCCUGUUUUUUGAUGCUUGGCUCCCUCUGCUAAUCUCAAAGUUUCCUGGCUUUUUCUCCCUCAGCCCCUUCUCACCUCUUUGCUGUCCUGUGUAGUGAUUUGGUGAGAGAAAUCAUAGCUGCCCCCUCCCCCUAGCACCAUAUAUGAGUUUCAAGUUUUAUUAUUGCAAUAAAAGUGCUUUAUGCCGGCUUUUC